rnacentral:rRNA from 1 species
UUGGAAGUAAGUCGUAACAGGUUUCGGUAGGUGACCUGCGGAGGAUCAUUA